GCCCAAGUGGCGGAAUGGUAGACGCAGGGGAUUCAAAAUCCCCCGCCGCGAGGCGUGCCGGUUCGAGUCCGGCCUUGGGUA
rfam:Litorimicrobium taeanense strain DSM 22007 genome assembly, contig: Ga0070518_101